ensembl:lncRNA
CUAUUGACAUAUCAACCAUUAUAGAAGGACCAUUAGAAUUUCUACCUUUAUUACUGUGUCAACAUACAAUAUUUGAUAAGACACUGUCUAAUUAGUUAGCCAGAGGAUCUUGUAUUUUGGCACGUUAAACGAUGGCUAGCUUGAAGGCUAGAACAUUCUGACAUUGAGACAACAAUCAAAGUGAAGAUUCGAAGGUCAUGAAAAUGAUUUUCACACAAAACAAUAGGUGUGUGUAUAUGUGUUUGUAUUUAUUAACACCCAUAACUUUCUUUGGUUUCACUGUUAAAAUGGGUACAGAUAACGGGUGAUUCCAAGACCACAAUUCAUUGGAUGGUCUUAACAUAAUUAAAUCAACUGACAAGUCAAGAGUAUAGCACAGAGAAAUUAAAUGACAAAUUGUAAUACCUCACCCAAGUACCACAUUCAGGAUCUUUACUCAAGACAGAAUAAAAUAACAUGGCCAAAUCUGCCUAUUACAUCAGUAGUUGAUCGGGGCCUUAAUCCGGCAUUCAAACAUGCCUGUGACAAAAUACAUAAUAAAACUGAAAAAAGGAAGGCAGAUAACAGUAAACUAAAAGUAAACAAACACAUAUUUGCUUGCAGAUUUCUCUCUUAAGUUGGUUCUGUGAAAAAGUGAGUCAACUACUCAUUGCACAGUAAAUAUGCCUAACAUUAUUGGCACUGUAAUGACAGAAGUUGUAAAUUAGCAAUCUGUUGCUAAAAAAUCUCCCCCAUAGGGUUACAACCAAUCUUGACAACAGCUCCACCAUCAAAGGAUGGACAAGGUUUGAAAACUCUUAUUGUUACCUCACACCUUUCAGCCCCUUGUUGUCUAGACAUACAUAUGUAAUGUAAAUAUGCUCAAUGUAUAGGACUACUUGAGCAUUAAUGGACAUUCAGUAAGACAAUUAUUUGUUAAUAUCUCAAUAAGGCACAUUUUAACUGAUAUUAAAAGUAUUGAGGACAAUAAUCCUUAAUUCUGGCAUAUUCUUGUCUACAUGUUAUUUUAGUAACUGUAUAGCCAGUUACCAGUUUGGUAGAUAAAGUGACCGAUAUGUGUAAAUAUGGCUUCAAAAUCCUCUAUUUUCCAACAUGAACGAAGGGUCAUUUCUGCACUGUCCAAUAUCUUCAACUUUUAUGUUAUAUUCUAGACAUCUGAGUGAAGAAAAACAAACCCAUAGUGCUAUUUUAACAUGUAACAUGUCAUUCUGUAUGCUCAUGACAUAACGAACGAUAAAUAUAGUUGGUGACUCAAAUUGAACUGGCAGUUAAAACAUUCCACAAUCACAAUUUCAGGUGUAACAAAGUAGCCCAAAUAAUUCUUACUGCAUUAUUUUCCUUUACCCUUUCAACAACACUGCUGCAAUUCCAUAGAUGUCUGCUACUCUAUGGAAACAUAUAACUGUGUCUAGUGAAGAAUCAAUUCUUCAACCUAUAUGUCUUGCCAAACCUAUUAAGGUGAAGUUAAUUUAAAUGCAUUCCUUUUAAGGUGUUUUUUAACAGUAUUUUCAUUAUUUCCUCAAAAUAACAAUAGGCAAUCUAUUCUUGAGUCCUGCCAGUACAGCUGUGCUGUGAUUGUGAAGAUGCAUUCAAAGUGUUGCACUACAAAAUAUGAAAAUUGUCAUGGAGAAAAAAUACAAGCAAUAUUAUUCUUAUAUACUGAUAAUGGAAUGAAACAACAUUCUGAGAGAAUAGGGUACGGCCAGCAAGGGGAAAAAAAAGGAAAGAAAACCAGAUUCCAGACCUUACACCGUUUGACAUUUUCGGCAGUCACAACUUAGAGGAAAAACAACACUCCUUCCCCACCUCUUGCUCAAACCUCUGCCAACCAAACCACAGAGGGAAAUGACUGGAGAGUGAUUGUGCAGAAUCCCUCACAAUAGGGGAGAACAGAACUGUGCUCACUGUUUGGCUCCUGUAUAGGCUCAUCCCUCCUCUUCAUCACGUGACGGACGACUUAAGUGCUGAUUUGUUUGUGCAUCGACAGGACAGCUGACUGUCAUAUUCUGAAUGGCUUCCCAUAAUUUUUCAUUCUCCUUCAGCUGGUCACUGAACUGCAGUAUCAAAGGGGGGGGGCAUCAACUCAGAUUAUUCAAAUUGAUAUUAAAUUUGUGAAUUUUUUAUGAAAUUAAAGUUGUUAGUUAGCAUGAAAACAUCCAGUUAAAACAAUGGGCAAUUGCCUACUAUAUCCAUUUAACAAAGACCUUACCUGCUUCUGUAACAACUGAAUCAUUGCCUCUUGCCUGUUAACGAUUUCUUUAAGCUGCAAAAGAGAAGUCAGAAAGUUAUUCAUGGAAAAAACUGAGGUAUAGAUGCGGUGUUGUUUAAAGUUUCUUCAUCUGGGUUUUGGGAGGAAAGGAGACGUGGGCUCAUAAAGUUGCCUGGCUAUACGGUCAGAACAUGUGACUAUUCCCUGCAAUUUAAUAGAUAAAUCUUGGUUUAAUCCGAGUUUAAACGUAUCCUUUUUGGUACAAAUCACCCUUACAGAUUCAAAUUUAGAUAGUUGGAUGGCUAAUGUUACGACUAGAGAUGGUUCUCCCAUGAAUGACCUGUUCUCUUAGAAAGAAUCUCUCUCUAGGAACUACUGUUCACAUCUGUACAAUAACUCCUAGCUUUGACGACUGCUGGAGCCAAUAGGUAUUUGGAUUCACCAUGACAAAGCCAAUAAUUGGCUGGAUCUACAUGAUCCUGAACUUAUAUGACCCUCAAAGAACGCAGUGUUUUCCCUCUCCCACUCCCAAACUUUUUCUCCCAACACUCUUGUUCUGAGUCAGAGAGUUGGAAUUCUGACACUAGAGGGCUAUGUUGACUGAGAAAUGACUGAAAAUGGAUGAGAGGCACAUUAAAACUGCAAUAGGUUUAGACAAAGAAACGCUAACAUAGUUGAAAAACGCUAUUUGUUGAGUAUGGUUGUUUUGCAGCUGUUUUUGAUAAGAGCAUUUUCUUAUUAAAUGCAAACAUAUUCCUAACAAAGUUUACAAAUGUGCCUGCAAAGACAAGGUCUGUACUAUAGCUUACAAACUAUAGGGCCUUAUUUUUCUUCCACAUAUUAUGUGCAAGCAAGCUACCCAUUCAACUGCUGUGUCCUUUUCAAUGUGAAAAGUUCAGCCUCAGAUCAGAUGAACUGUAAGGGAGAACAAGAGAAAUCAUUCUUCCUAAAAACGUUGCUCCAUGUGGUGUAAUAUACAGCCUAUUGCCAGUAUAUCUGCAGUGACUGCCCACUAUGCAGCGACGGGAACAGGGAAAUAGAAGAAAAGCAGCGUUUUGAUACAUUUCAAAGCGGACAGAAACCCCAUCAACACAUGUGUAUUUUAGGACUACAAGUUAGAGGAUGGAUGGUGAUGUCCAUCACAGAGGCAGAAAUGACGCUAAACUGCAGACUGGUAGAUUAUAAGAGAAGAUGGUACAGUCACUGUAGGAGCUGGGGAAAUCAACUCCCAAGGAGUGUUUUGUUUGGUGUC